rnacentral:rRNA from 1 species
ACGAACGCUGGCGGCGCGCCUAACACAUGCAAGUCGAACGGAGAUACCUGUUAGAUCCCUUCGGGGUGACGAUGGACUAUCUUAGUGGCGGACGGGUGAGUAACACGUGAGCAACCUGCCUUACAGAGUGGGAUAACGUUUUGAAACGAACGCUAAUACCGCAUAACAUUAACUUAUCGCAUGGUAAGAUAAUCAAAGAAAUUCGCUGUAAGAUGGGCUCGCGUCUGAUUAGAUAGUUGGUGAGGUAACGGCUCACCAAGUCGACGAUCAGUAGCCGGACUGAGAGGUUGAACGGCCACAUUGGGACUGAGACACGGCCCAGACUCCUACGGGAGGCAGCAGUGGGGAAUAUUGCACAAUGGGGGAAACCCUGAUGCAGCGACGCCGCGUGAGGGAAGAAGGUUUUCGGAUUGUAAACCUCUGUCUUCAGGGACGAUAGUGACGGUACCUGAGGAGGAAGCUCCGGCUAACUACGUGCCAGCAGCCGCGGUAAUACGUAGGGAGCGAGCGUUAUCCGGAAUUAUUGGGUGUAAAGGGUGCGUAGACGGGAAGAUAAGUUAGUUGUGAAAUCCCUCGGCUUAACUGAGGAACUGCAACUAAAACUGGUUUUCUUGAGUGCUGGAGAGGAAAGUGGAAUUCCUAGUGUAGCGGUGAAAUGCGUAGAUAUUAGGAGGAACACCAGUGGCGAAGGCGACUUACUGGACUGUAACUGACGUUGAGGCACGAAAGUGUGGGGAGCAAACAGGAUUAGAUACCCUGGUAGUCCACACCGUAAACGAUGGAUACUAGGUGUAGGAGAUAUUAAGUCUUCUGUGCCGUCGCAAACGCAAUAAGUAUCCCACCUGGGGAGUACGGCCGCAAGGUUGAAACUCAAAGGAAUUGACGGGGGCCCGCACAAGCAGUGGAGUAUGUGGUUUAAUUCGAAGCAACGCGAAGAACCUUACCAGGUCUUGACAUCCAACUAACGAGAUAGAGAUAUGUUAGGUGCCCUUCGGGGAAAGUUGAGACAGGUGGUGCAUGGUUGUCGUCAGCUCGUGUCGUGAGAUGUUGGGUUAAGUCCCGCAACGAGCGCAACCCUUACCAUUAGUUGCUACGCAAGAGCACUCUAAUGGGACUGCCGUUGACAAAACGGAGGAAGGUGGGGAUGACGUCAAAUCAUCAUGCCCCUUAUGACCUGGGCCACACACGUACUACAAUGGCUAUUAACAGAGGGAAGCAAUACCGCGAGGAGGAGCAAACCCCUAAAAAUAGUCUCAGUUCGGAUUGCAGGCUGCAACCCGCCUGCAUGAAGCCGGAAUUGCUAGUAAUCGCGGAUCAGCAUGCCGCGGUGAAUACGUUCCCGGGCCUUGUACACACCGCCCGUCACACCAUGAGAGUUGGCAACACCCGAAGCCAGUAGCCUAACCGCAAGGAGGGCGCUGUCGAAGGUGGGGUUGAUGAUUAGGGUG